UCCCUGGUGUCUCAGACAGUAGAGAAUCUGCCUGCAACGCAAGAGACCCUGGUUUGAUCCCUGGCUUGGAAA
rnacentral:tRNA from 1 species